UGGUUCUGGCAUCGAUGAAGAACGCAGCGAAAUGUGAUAAGUAGUGUGAAUUGCAGAAUUCCGUGAAUCAUCGAAUCUUUGAACGCACAUUGCGCCUGCUGGUAUUCCAGCAGGCAUGCCUGUUCGAGCGUCAUUUCACAGUCAAGCUUUGCUUGGUGUUGGGCGGUGUUUCGAUCGCAAGAUGGAAACAGGCCUCAAAUAUAUUGGCAGCCGGUGUGAGAAAGCAGCGCAGCACAAUUGCGUGGUGACGCUCAUACUGGCGUCCAGAAGAUACCACUUUGACCUCGGAUCAGGUAGGGAUACCCGCUGA
rnacentral:misc_RNA from 1 species